rnacentral:rRNA from 1 species
UACGUAGGAGGCAAGCGUUGUCCGGAUUUAUUGGGCGUAAAGAGCGUGUAGGCGGCCAGGUAGGUCCGGUGUGAAAACUCGAGGCUUAACCUCGAGAUGUCAUCGGAAACCAUCUGGCUAGAGUCCGGAAGAGGAGAUUGGAAUUCCUGGUGUAGCGGUGAAAUGCGCAGAUAUCAGGAAGAACACCAAUGGCGAAGGCAGCUCUCUGGGACGGUACUGACGCUGAGACGCGAAAGCGUGGGGAGCGAACAGG